rnacentral:misc_RNA from 1 species
UCUCCGUUGGUGAACCAGCGGAGGGAUCAUCACCGAGUUUACAACUCCCAAACCCCUAAGUGAACGUUACCAAACUGUUGCCUCGGCGGGAAAUUCAUGCCCCGGGCGCGUCGCAGCCCCGGACCAAGGCGCCCGCCGGAGGACCAACCAAAACUCUUUUGUAUGUCCCUCGCGGACUUUUAUAAUUCUGAACCAUCUCGGCGCCCCUAGCGGGCGUUUCGAAAAUGAAUCAAAACUUUCAACAACGGAUCUCUUGGUUCUG